UGGCAUCGGGCACCCACGGGGUCUUUACUGCAUGCCUGCUCUGUGCCAGGCACAGUCUUUGACCCCCAGGAAAUGGCAGAGGGCAGGGCAGGGUCCCUGGCAUGAGAGGCUGGCCACCGGUCAGUGGGGCUGUCGCCGGGGGAGGAGACAAGGAAACCAAGGCCCUGACUACUCCAUGCAGUGUCACUGGAAGCAGAGCGGAGCCAGGUGUGAACCCAAGGUCGGCUGCUCCCCGCAGGGCACCGCUACCUGCCAGCCUCAGCGGCCCGUCGGCAAUGCCUGGAGACACCUUGCUGAAGAGGCUGCUGGAUUUCUAUAGGACUGAAUCAGAGACGGAGCUGCCUGGCGGAGAUGUCUGAACAUCUACGGCUUCGCCUCAAGUUCCAGUCGGUCCUCAGAGGCGCCUCCUGGGUGGUUCAUAAACAAGAAAUCGGUCGCUCACGGUUCCAGAGGCCCAGCAGUCCAAGACCAAGUUGCCCGCAGAUUCGGUGCCCGGCGAGGACUGCUUUCUGGUCCACAGAUGGCGCCUUCUCCAGGUGUUUCCACACAGAGCAAGGAACAGGCAGCUCUCUGGGGCCUCCUUUCAAGAGGCACCAAUCCUAGCCAGAGGACAGGCCCUCAUGAUCUAAUCACCGCCCCAAACUCCACCACCUAACAUCGUCACCUUGGUGAUCAGGUUUCAGCUUAUGAAUUUUGAGGGUAGACACUCAAAUGGUUUCACCUACCAAUUACUCCCUACCAUCCACCAGCCUCACCUCCUAACCACCUGGCAGUCUCCACCUCGAACACACCAUCACCUCCACCACCUCCCCAUCGCCACCUCUAUCACCUCCUUCAUCACUACCUCCACCUUCUCCAU